CCGAGUGAGGGUCCUCGUGGCCCAACCUCCCAACCCUUGUGUUAAACAUACCACGUUGCUUCGGCGGGCCCGUCUCUUCUCGAGACCGCCGGACGGUGUCACACCCGUCUGGCCCGUUGCCCGUCGAUAGCCCAACUUCAAACUCUUGAUGAAACCUGUCGUCUGAGUAUAAAUGAUUAAUUAAAUCA
rnacentral:misc_RNA from 1 species